AUUGAACGCUGGCGGCAGGCCUAACACAUGCAAGUCGAGCGGUAGCACAGAGAGCUUGCUCUCGGGUGACGAGCGGCGGACGGGUGAGUAAUGUCUGGGAAACUGCCUGAUGGAGGGGGAUAACUACUGGAAACGGUAGCUAAUACCGCAUAACGUCGCAAGACCAAAGUGGGGGACCUUCGGGCCUCAUGCCAUCAGAUGUGCCCAGAUGGGAUUAGCUAGUAGGUGGGGUAAUGGCUCACCUAGGCGACGAUCCCUAGCUGGUCUGAGAGGAUGACCAGCCACACUGGAACUGAGACACGGUCCAGACUCCUACGGGAGGCAGCAGUGGGGAAUAUUGCACAAUGGGCGCAAGCCUGAUGCAGCCAUGCCGCGUGUGUGAAGAAGGCCUUCGGGUUGUAAAGCACUUUCAGCGGGGAGGAAGGCGUUAAGGUUAAUAACCUUGGCGAUUGACGUUACCCGCAGAAGAAGCACCGGCUAACUCCGUGCCAGCAGCCGCGGUAAUACGGAGGGUGCAAGCGUUAAUCGGAAUUACUGGGCGUAAAGCGCACGCAGGCGGUCUGUCAAGUCGGAUGUGAAAUUCCCGGGCUCAACCUGGGAACUGCAUUCGAAACUGGCAGGCUAGAGUCUUGUAGAGGGGGGUAGAAUUCCAGGUGUAGCGGUGAAAUGCGUAGAGAUCUGGAGGAAUACCGGUGGCGAAGGCGGCCCCCUGGACAAAGACUGACGCUCAGGUGCGAAAGCGUGGGGAGCAAACAGGAUUAGAUACCCUGGUAGUCCACGCCGUAAACGAUGUCGAUUUGGAGGUUGUGCCCUUGAGGCGUGGCUUCCGGAGCUAACGCGUUAAAUCGACCGCCUGGGGAGUACGGCCGCAAGGUUAAAACUCAAAUGAAUUGACGGGGGCCCGCACAAGCGGUGGAGCAUGUGGUUUAAUUCGAUGCAACGCGAAGAACCUUACCUGGUCUUGACAUCCACAGAACUUUCCAGAGAUGGAUUGGUGCCUUCGGGAACUGUGAGACAGGUGCUGCAUGGCUGUCGUCAGCUCGUGUUGUGAAAUGUUGGGUUAAGUCCCGCAACGAGCGCAACCCUUAUCCUUUGUUGCCAGCGGUUAGGCCGGGAACUCAAAGGAGACUGCCAGUGAUAAACUGGAGGAAGGUGGGGAUGACGUCAAGUCAUCAUGGCCCUUACGACCAGGGCUACACACGUGCUACAAUGGCAUAUACAAAGAGAAGCGACCUCGCGAGAGCAAGCGGACCUCAUAAAGUAUGUCGUAGUCCGGAUUGGAGUCUGCAACUCGACUCCAUGAAGUCGGAAUCGCUAGUAAUCGUAGAUCAGAAUGCUACGGUGAAUACGUUCCCGGGCCU
rnacentral:rRNA from 1 species